UCCAGACUCCUACGGGAGGCAGCAGUGGGGGAUAUUGCACAAUGGGGGAAACCCUGAUGCAGCGACGCCGCGUGUGGGAAGACGGUCCUCUGGAUUGUAAACCGCUGUCCCCAGGGACGAAAAUGACGGUACCUGAAGAAGAAGCCCCGGCUAACUCCGUGCCAGCAGCCGCGGUAAUACGGAGGAUGCGAGCGUUAUCCGGAUUUACUGGGUGUAAAGGGAGCGCAGGCGGCACGGCAAGCCUGAUGUGAAAGCCCGCGGCCCAACCGCGGGACUGCAUUGGGAACUACCGGGCUGGAGUGCCGGAGAGGUAGGCGGAAUUCCUAGUGUAGCGGUGAAAUGCGUAGAUAUUAGGAGGAACACCAGUGGCGAAGGCGGCCUACUGGACGGUGACUGACGCUGAGGCUCGAAAGCGUGGGGAGCAAACAGGAUUAGAUACCCGUGUAC
rnacentral:rRNA from 1 species